rnacentral:lncRNA from 1 species
GGGUUCUUUUUUCUAUACGAUUCACUGUGAUAAGUCGCCUGCCUUCAGUGGGGGUUGCAUGGGCCCAGACUUGACUGCAAAUCACAAAACGAGCGGGGCAGGGCUCCGUGUUUCCAGGAGACGUCAGCUCCCUUGAGUCGGCGCUGACUCACGGAUGUCAUCAUAGCCUCCUCUUUCUCUCCGUGGGUAAGAAAACCACGGGGCUAAGGAUUCAACGCUCAGGAGGUUUAAAUCCUCAAGGCGAAGAGACGUUUAUUGCUCC